AACGAACGCUGGCGGCAGGCUUAACACAUGCAAGUCGAGCGCGUAGCAAUACGAGCGGCAGACGGGUGAGUAACGCGUGGGAAUCUACCGUACCCUACGGAAUAGCUCUGGGAAACUGGAGGUAAUACCGUAUACGCCCUUUUGGGGAAAGAUUUAUCGGGGUAUGAUGAGCCCGCGUUGGAUUAGCUAGUUGGUGGGGUAAAGGCCUACCAAGGCGACGAUCCAUAGCUGGUCUGAGAGGAUGAUCAGCCACAUUGGGACUGAGACACGGCCCAAACUCCUACGGGAGGCAGCAGUGGGGAAUAUUGGACAAUGGGGGCAACCCUGAUCCAGCCAUGCCGCGUGAGUGAUGAAGGCCUUAGGGUUGUAAAGCUCUUUUACCCGGGACGAUAAUGCCUGUACCGGGAGAAUAAGCCCCGGCUAACUUCGUGCCAGCAGCCGCCGUAA
rnacentral:rRNA from 1 species